GGUAGAAGUAUUUCUUCUCUUCUCUUUUGUCUCUGUUUUAUCAAGUGAAGAUUAAUUGGAUAUAUGUGUAUCAGUAUGUAUAGGAUGAUAUUGAUAUAUUGCACGGUGCACUACAUUGGCAAAUGAUUGAAAUUUUACCAUUUAAUAUUAGACAAGAUACAAUAAAACUUUCUGAUAAAAUAUAUUAUCAUUAUUAAUUAAGAAAAGAACGAUUUCAAGAAUGCUUCACAAACACUAUAGGAAUACAUAUCGAGAUCAUUAGUGUGGCGUGGUAUUCUAAAUCUAUGUCAGAGAGUUGUUUGACCUGUGAUAUCUUAGAAUUUAGAUAUCGUCAAUUCUGAAAUCUGUAUCUGAUAUGUAUCGAAGUUCAGCGAAAUUUUAUUUAUUAUAGGUUAUCAUACUAUUGUAUUUAAAAACAAAAAUUUAUAAUGUUCCUAUUUUAUACAAUACAUAUUGUAUUGUCAAAAAGUAAAUUAUAUCAACUGGAAGCCUAGUUAUUCAUAAUAUAAGAUCUUUUCCCUUGUUAUGGUGGCUGUGCAAUUAUUUAAUCAUUGGAAUUUAAUUAAUCUUGAAAUAAAUAUUUUUUUUGGAU